rnacentral:tRNA from 1 species
CAUUUUUGAGCAUAACUAAUACUGUAAGUAUUUAAAAGGUUUAAACCUCUCAAAACGC